AGUGGAAUAGCUGGGUCAAAUGGUAGUUCCAUUCCAAAUUUUCUGAGGAAUCUCCACACUGCUUUCCAAAGUGGAUGCACCAUUUUGCAGUCCCACCAGCAAU
rnacentral:pre_miRNA from 1 species